CCUACGGGAGGCAGCAGUGGGGGAUAUUGCACAAUGGAGGGAACUCUGAUGCAGCGACGCCGCGUGAGGGAAGAAGGUUUUCGGAUUGUAAACCUCUGUCUUCGGUGACGAAACGAGACGGUAGCCGAGGAGGACGCCACGGCUAACUACGUGACAGCAGCCGCGGUCAUACGUAGGUGGCAAGCGGUGUCCGGAAUUACUGGGUGUAACGGGUGCGUAGGCGGAAAAGCAAGUUGAAUGUUUAAGGUACGGGCUCAACCUGUACGAGGGUUCGAAACUGGUUUUCUUGAGUGGGGUAGAGGUAAGCGGAAUGCCUAGUGUAGCGGUGAAAUGCGUAAAUAUCAGGAAGAACUCCGAUGGCGAAGGCAGCUUACCGGCGCUUAACUGACGCUGAUGCUCGAAAGCGUGGGUAGCGAACAGGAUUAGAUACCCCUGUAGUC
rnacentral:rRNA from 1 species